GCUUAAAUGUGGAAGCAUGAUACAUUUUUGAAUAGAAAGUUACAAAAAAAAAAAGCACUCUUUUGUAAUAUCAAGGUCUUUGUCACUUUUGAUCCAUUUAAUGCAUUCCUGUUAACUUAAAGUCUUAUUGUCCUCAAACUUUUGAAUGGUGGUGCCCAUUUUUUCCCCAUUUAAACCUAGAAAUGUAAAAAGAUUUUUCAAAAACAUUCUGCACUAUUUUUCUAGUUUACUAAAAUAAGUUUGUGACACUGAGAAAGUGUCAGAUUUCAGGUCAGAGUUCAUGCAGCAAAUACUCAAAUGUUAAAAAUAGUGAAUUUUACUCCUUUAUAAUACAAUUUGAAUAAAUUAGGCUUUAAAACAACUAUAGCAACAACAAAAGCAACACAUGAUGAAUUUCACUAGUAAGUCACAGGUCUCAUACCAUCAUCAGGAAUCAUUCCAUCAUCGGCGUGUGAGAACUUCUGAGCAUUUCUCUGAUGGUUUGUAAUGAUGUCAGUGAUGGUCAUGGGAGGAUCAGCUGCAUCCAUGUGGCCCAUUUUCUGUGUGAUCUUGUCGCUGAGGCCGAGGUAAUCCUUUCGCAAGUCCUCCAUCUCCGCUAACAGCACCUCUCUCUCUCGCUCCAGCAGUCGAAUGGCCUCUUUGAGUCGUGCUCCCUCCUUCGUGCUUGCCAUCUCCGACGCCAUCUUUUCUUUAUGAACGCUCUCCAACUUCUCUGUCAAGACUUGCUUGUCUCUCUUGAGUUUACCGACCGUCUGCAUCAAAGUCUCGCACUCUCUUCUCAAACCAUCAGACUGCUGCAGACAGGCUUUCUGCUGCUCCUGCAGCUGAAGCAUCUCCACUCUCUGCUUGUUGUGAAUCAGUUUCGAUUCAUAUUUCACAGCCUCCACCUGUUGAAGUGCUUGGUCUCUUUCUGUUUUGCAGUUCUCCAACUCGGCGUUCAGUUUUUCAGUCACCUCCUGAAAUUCCUUAACCUUCUUCUUAUUGUCAGACUCUUUGGAGCAAGUCGACUGAAUGAGCUCCAUGUUCUUCUCCUGAGCUUUACGUAAAUGUUCCCGGAGGUUUGCAGAUUCACUUCUCGUGGCUGAUAUCUCCUCCUUAAGUCUCUGAUGAAUGCUGAUGUUCUUCUUGUGCUCGGCGUCCAUCAUCUGGAGCGUCUCUCUACACAAAGCCAGAUCUCGAUCUGCUACAUCUCUUUGCUCCUCUAGAAGUUUCUGCUUGGUUAGCAGCUCUUGAGACAUCUGCUGGAGCUUCCUCAGUGAUUUUUGACAGCUCUUUUUCUCAUUGAGCUCCACGUUGAGUUGGUCCUUCAUGGCAUUAGCGCGUGUUUUUAGGCGCUCGUAUUUCUCCAUCAGUGCUUUAAGCUGUUUUAUAGACGUCUUGUUGUUACUUUUGGCUUCAGCGAGUUCCUUCUUCAAAUCUUCAGAGGUUUGCUCAAACCUGGUGGCGAUUUCGCUGCUUUUCUGUUCCUCACUCUUCAGCUUUUCAGUAACGAGUUGGGUUUCCUUUUCUUUCUGCUUUGACAUCUCUUGCAUUUCUUUCAGUUCUUGUCGCUUGACCAACAACAAAUGGACAAGAUGUUGAUUCUCCAAGUCCUUCUGCUGCAGUUGCUCCUUCACGACUUCAAAGAAGUCGAGAUGUUUACUCUUCAAAGAGGAACUUUUGUCAGCUCUGCUUCUUUCUCGGCCCUUUGCUAUUUCCUUCAAAACGGCUUUGGAUGGGUUUGAGGAACGUUCAACAGAUCUUGUUGAAUUAGACUUGAUAAAGUAACCAAAGGGCAGAUGUAAGGCUUGAUGAUCCAUGAGGAAAUCAUAUUUUGACCCGAGGGCACUCAUCGUAGCCUCUUCUUUUUUCAGCAGAUCUGCUCCUGCUAGAAUUCUGUGCAGGGAUUCAACUGCUUGCUCAUUAAAAUCUUGACUGACAUUUUCAUUCGUAUUUCUCAGUAAAUUCUGUCGCACUUUCAAGAACCUGUUUUCGAGCGUAUCCGCUGCAGCAUGCUGGGAUUUAGCAGCGAGUUCUUUCCCUUUCUUCCAUCCACUAAAAAGCAGCUCUUUGUCAUUUGAUUGCAUUUCACUGCUGAUGGCUUCUGGCUGAUGGGUGUCCAACUUAUCAGGAACUGGUCUGUCACAGUCCUGCUGCGUGUCUUGAAUACGGUCAAGUUUACACUUGUGCUUACAUCUUCUAGUCUGUUUGACGUCCAGGUCCAUGCGAGUUGACCCUUACCUCACUUGUAUUACUCCCCAGCAUCCAAACGGACUGCAACAGAAGCCUACUGUGCCACUCAAUCCCCAUUGUUCAAAACGUUUUAAAAUGUCUGUCGCCAUAGUAACAGGACCAACGCUGGCAACACUAAGCACUAGGAAAAAGACGUUAUAAAAAUGGUUUUGAACCAAACCGGUUCCGCUUGAAUGACUGACGUUAGCGGCGCCAGAACAAAAGCAGCUAUUAUCCCACAGCUGAGGCUCAACUCAAACUUGGCCAGCAGUUUUGGUUUGUCGUAAGACUGGGAAACUUAAUUAAACUGAGGAAGCGUCUAAUUAAUAAAUAAAUAAAUAAAUUUUGUAGUUUUAAUAAAAAAAAUUAGUUAACAUUUUACAAUAAGGGCGAAUUAGUUAUUGCAUUAGGAUCGAAC
ensembl:lncRNA